GACAGAGGGUGCAAACGUUGUUCGGAAUUACUGGGCGUAAAGCGCGUGUAGGCGGCCCUGCAAGUCGGAUGUGAAAUCCCUCGGCUCAACUGAGGAACUGCCUUUGAGACUGUCGAGCUUGAGGCCGGGAGGGGGUAGCGGAAUUCCCAGUGUAGCGGUGAAAUGCGUAGAUAUUGGGAGGAACACCAGUGGCGAAGGCGGCUACCUGGACCGGUUCUGACGCUGAUGCGCGAAAGCGUGGGUAGCAAACAGG
rnacentral:rRNA from 1 species